rnacentral:rRNA from 1 species
UACAGAGGGGGCAAGCGUUGUUCGGAAUUACUGGGCGUAAAGGGCGCGUAGGCGGCCUGCUAAGUCGAACGUGAAAUCCCUGGGCUCAACCCAGGAACUGCGUCGGAUACUGGAUGGCUUGAAUUCGGGAGAGGGAUGCAGAAUUCCAGGUGUAGCGGUGAAAUGCGUAGAUAUCUGGAGGAAUACCGGUGGCGAAGGCGGCAUCCUGGACCGACAUUGACGCUGAACGGCGAAAGCUAGGGGAGCAAACGGG